CAUCCAGUUCAGCUGGAUGGACGGUCUUUUGAGGACUGGUCAUCUGUAAUCUUGGAAAUGUAGAGUCAUGUGUCUAACUAGCAGACGGAGCUGAUACAGGCUUCUUCCGUUGCAGGAAGGCCAGGGUGUGGUGAGACGUGGGACUCUCAUGGUGCACUAGUGGCUGUGUGCAAUGCUGGCCUGUCUGCCAGUUCCAGGUGACCUUCCAUUCCAGCUGCUCUCCCACUUGCAGAUGAACACGGGACUUCAGAAAUGGGACAGUACACGGAAGAUGAGAUCUGCACAGUAUCCAACUCCAGCAGAGUUGGAUGCCUAUGCUAAGAAAGUGGCCCACAGUCCUCUGACAAUUAAGAUCUUUCCUAACAGUGUAAAGGUUCCCCAAAAGAAGCACGUCCGUCGCACAGUGAAUGGGCUUGACACCUCAAGCCAUCGCUAUUGCCCCUACCCAUCUCAGGCCAGUGCAAAAGCAGGGCUCCUCAGUGUUGUCAAAAUGCCCAUUAAAGGCGUCAUCAAGGACAUGCAUGGCAGCCGGGUACACCAGUUCCCUGAAGCCACCAUGAACCAUCACAAUGGGUCCUAUUUUCCCCAGAGCACUUUAAAUGUUCCUCAGACCACUCCACAGUCACAGGGGCCUCUGCAACCCCAACAUAUUGCCCAACAACAGAAUUUAAACCACGUUCAGGCCUUAGCCCAGCAGAAGCCUCGGAGUCAGCCCUGUUUACAGACAGUGUCGCGACAGCAGGUUGGGCCGCAGGGCUUGAGGCACCUUCCCAGCUCAACCCAACCCCUGAGCAUGCAACAUCACCAGGCCUUGCCCCCUGUACAGACUGUCCCCUACCCCUUGAGUCUGCAGCCAACUCCAGCCAACAUGAUGCUGCAUAACUUAGAACAGACACAUACAAACCUCCAUUGGACUAGAAAUAUGCCAGGUACUGAAGCCCCACCAAACGUGACCGUGUCUACCUCAACCAUCCCACUGCCCAUGGCAGCUGGGCUUCACCAUAACCGACCGGCUGACCUGAGCAGCAUUGUGCACCAGAUCAACCAGUUCUGCCAGACAAGAGCAAGAAUUGGCACUACCUCUUUGUGCGAGGGGCAAAUUGCCAACCCCAGCCCCAUCAACCGCAAUCUGCUUAUCAGCACUAGCUCCCGAGCGUUAUCCCAUCACUCAGCCCCAGGUGCCCCACCUAUGUGUGUCCUUGGCUCUGCACACAAGGCUGCUGCUCCCAUUCCAGUGGGUGCUCUCCCACCACUGGAUAUCGCUACAGUGAACCCCAUGCACAUGCUCCGUGGUGAUGGGAAAACACAGCAACAGUCCUGGAGCCAGCAGCAUGGAAUGCUCCAACAGAACAUUUCAGAGGCUGAGCAUCUCGGCAAACCUGCAUUGCUGGACCCUCCUGGAGGACCUGCCUUUCCUAAUAACAGCACUGGCUACCCACUAGACAUGUCUUUGGGCCAACCUUUCAACCUGAAGCUCCCUAUGGACAAGCCCACUCCUUCGCCCCCCGUCAUUGGGGUUCCAGCUGCAAUUUCCUACACCAAUGGGCCUUACUUAAAGCCCCUUUGGAAUGGAGUCCUCCCAACCCCAAACAGUGACAGCUCAGGCUCGCAGGACCUGGCCCUGCACUUCCAUGGGGGGCCAUUGGGUGCCCAAGUAGACUGCACCCCUGCAUCUAUCCAGAGGCCUGGAGCCAGCUCCUCUGGCCACACUAAUCCUAGGCAAGCCAUGGAGUAUAUGGCUGGAGACUUCCAUGCAGCCUGCUUCAAGGAUCAGAGCUUUGGGAACAGGGGCAAAAUACAGAGGCCUGCAAUAGUCAGAGGCCCUGAGACAGGCAGUAGUAGAAAUCCUCAAAUGCAGCAUCCAGGGUAUAGAUGAACUACAGCCUUGUCUAUAUAGUCACCCACUUAAGUCUUAGCCAUUUAGCAAGCAAAUUACUUAAUUAUAUUUAAACCUGGUGUUUUAUUAACCUUGCAAGUGAUCAGUUGUCUUUUUCAAAUUUAACUCUAAAUAUGUAUAGAAAAACAGGUGUUCUUCAUACUCAGUUUGUGUAACUUAAUAUUCAUUUAAAUAUUCCCAGCUAUUGCUUUGUUUUUAGAUAGGAAAAAGGCUCACUACUUUCCUACUGUUAUUUAUUGAUAUACCUGUUUUAAUUGAGGUGAAAGGCAGAGUGGUGGUUUAUUGAAAUUUGUUAGACUUUUUCCUUUUGUUUUCAAUGCCUGCCCAAAUCUUCAUAUUUAAGGACGGAAAGGUCAACUGGAAUGAUUUUCAUAAACGAUUACAUAUUUCCUUUUGUUCCUUGGUUCUACCACCAGGUUUGGUGAGUGCUAUAGCCUUUACCCAUUUUGCUCAGCUUUAUAUUUAACAAUACGAAACUGGCAUAUCUCAAACUUACUAUGUGUUUGUAGACUUAAUGUUGAAAAUGUGUAUUAGUUUAUGGAUUAAUUUUUACUGAAGAACUCAGGCAGGUUCUUGUAGAAGAGCUGAAAUUUUUGUGUUUUUUAGAGGCUUAGCAUUUCACGAUUUGAAAGUUUGAUAUACUGAUAAUCCAGCACUCUCAUAAAAACAUUACACUGAUUUAUUUUCAUGAAACUUUUUUGUUUUUCAGUGUGUCUUAACAGCAUUUGUGCUGCCGCCACAUGCUAUUCAACAUGUAUUGCACAUACACAAGAUGUGAAAAUUGCAGGAGAUUGCACUUUUUUUGUCAUCUGUAUAGAGUGGAUUUAUAAAGUAGUUAAGGCUUCCUGUCCAUCUUUAUGGUUGUUGUUUAUCAAAGCUGGUCUUUCUGCAUUUGCUUAUGAAAUUGUUUCCCCUAGACAUGCAAAAUACAUGUUACCAUUGUAUUGUGGGCUAACCAAGCAGCUCACUUCUAUUGUGAUGGGGGGUACGCAAAUAGGUGGGAUAAGGCCGGAUUACUUUGGCUGCAGUUAUCCUUGCCUUGACCACUAGUAAACUAUUUAAACUCAAUUACCUUCUUUCUCCAGGGAUUGUGGAAUGUUGAACUUUUGGAAGCUUGCAGUUUCUUCAGCAUCAUGUUAUACAUAGUCAGAGGUAUAGGGGAGGACUGACUUGCCCUAGACUAAAGAACCACAUUCUGUCAGCACAAUGCUAACAUAGAAAAACAUGUCAAAUGGGAAGGACUUUGCCUGUAACCAAAACAAAAUGUGAGAACCUUGAUGCUGGGCAUUCAUUACAUAAUUCUAACAUGAAAGGAAUGUUUGAAAUUAGCAGCUUAUAUUUUUUACUUGCUUGGAUAGAUGUCGUAGGCUUUUUGAAGAGCCAUUCAUACUUGUUGUGUUCCAGAGACGUUUGUUAAUGCUAUAUUUGCAUACAUUCAUCUUCUGAAAGAUGGGUCACAUUUUAACUGCCACAUUUAUCAGAACCACAGGGGUUCCGCUUCCUGUUCUGGAUCUCUUGUUCUAACGAUGGCCCCCAUGUUUGGGAGCCAAGCCUUCCUUCUUGUGUGGUUUCAUCCAAAUUGGACCCAGGAAUCUUGGACAGUGUGGGCCCUGCAGUUUCUAUGGGAAAGCUGUCAUCAGGGAGAAGAUGAUAUCAGUGUAUCCUACUUUUUAGAGCAAUGACUUUUUUUUUUGUUGUUUUUAGUUGUCAAACUUCAAAAAAUGUUUUUCAUUUCCCAGUGUCAUUUUAGAUGCUACAGCAGUCAUAGGGUAACUCUGGUAUAUGCACAUAGCGCAGAGACUGGCCUUGUAAUUUAUUUUAAGAGGACUGUUGUACAUUCAAUCAGGGCAGUGUCCAUAGUUGGUAUCUAUAUCAGUUGAAAUGCUCAUCAAUCAGGUAUUCUUACUAAUCCAAUCCCCUAUGUUGGAGCAAGGAGAGAAGACAAUGUGUCAUUCCUGCCAUCUAGGGUGAAUUCAGGUGUCGGCUUAUUCUUUAGGUUUCAGGUGCCUGCUGGUGCAGUUAGUGUGGGCCUGUUGGCACUAUGAUUGUUGAAUUUUUGUUUUAUUGUGGAAUGAAAAUUCAGUUUUCUUUUCAUUUUAUGGUUCAACUAGAUUUACAGAGUUAUACAACUUUUGACUCAAGAGUUUGUGGGGGGGUAUAAUCAUGAGUUUAGCAACAUGUACAUGAAAUUUCCAAAAAAAAGUAAUGAUAUGAACCAUAUCUGCAUCCAUAUUUUAUCUUUGGCAUUAUUAUGAGUAGAAAGUAAUUGCAACUAAUUGAGGAAUGAAGGAUUUCUUGGAUUUUUGGAAAGAAAAUAUUGAUCACUUGCAAGUCUGCAACUUAAAAAGUGGAAGGCAGGACAAAAAAUGCCUUGCUUUUUAAUAUACACUGGUUUUCACUCCUGUUCCACUGUAGCAUAAGGAGUAUAAUUUUAUAUUACAGGUGUAUAUUGACUUAGGUUUGAAUGGCUUUUUGUGGGCAGAACUAUGGGCACCUGCCUUCUUUGUCUCCCUUGCCUAUGUCCCUGAAAAGCCUUAAGUAUCUGGUCUUUGGAAGCAUGAGAAAAAAAGGAAAACAUACUGCAAGUUUAAUCAUAUCUGAGAUUAAACUUUAAUAAAAUAUAGUUGAAUAGGGGAACUUUCA
ensembl:lncRNA